AUUGAUGGUUCAGUGAGGCGUUCGGACUGGCCCAGGGAGGUCGGCAACGACCACCCAGGGCCGGAAAGUUCUCCAAACUCGAUCAUUUAGAGGAAGUAAAAGUCGUAACAAGGUCUCCGUUGGUGAACCAGCGGAGGGAUCAUUG
rnacentral:rRNA from 4 species